rnacentral:lncRNA from 1 species
UAAUAUAUAUGUACGUAUAUAUGUUUAUUCUUCCCUAAGUAAAACUUUGAGUAAUUAUCUUUUGAAUGCAUAUACCAUAUGCAUUUGGUGAAUCCUCUUACUAGGAGUACUAUUUUUAGACUAUAUGAGCAUUAUUUAAUGGGCAAGCAGUGUAAAUUCCUGAAUAAUAUGUUUAAGUUGGUUCAAAAUUCAAAUUCAGGUCGACCCAAUACUUUGUCUUCAAAAAUACUCUAUAUAUAGUCGACUAUGUUUCCCAAAUAAUUUAACACUACUCAUUGAUUAUUACCCCCCUUUCAAAAAAUUUGGUACAUUUUACAUUUGAAAACUAUUAAUUAGUGACAUAUAACAUGUUUUAACACCACAAACUUAGAAACCUUAUUGCCAGAGAAUAUUUUUUACAAUAUAUACUCGUAUAAUAGCAAAAUUUGAGUAUUUCUUACCCUGAAUUCAAGGUCUAGCUGAUUGAUUGGAUUGGCAAUGUCAAGCAGCGCAACAGUAACAAGGUUUUCUUGGCCAUUGUUAUACAACCAAAGUGUGAAACCAGCAGGCAAUGCUAAUACAUCACCUUGUCGGAAUUGCCUGAUUUUCUGAUGGCGAUCACCGCCAUGACUUUCUGCUUCUCUGCUUUGUUCUCCUCUCGUCCUUCUCUCACUUUGUGGUGCUUCAAAUGUUUCAGCACAUCCUGGUAUUACUACUCCCAGCAAUCCCCUUCCUUCAUUCCACACACACAAAAAUUAAUUAAUUAAUGGGGCGCUACGCACAGUCACACUGAAACACAUUAAAUAAAAAUAAGGACAACUUGAGCAGUCAAAUUAAGCGACGUCCUCUUCCACUGAUGACUAUGAGAGUUGACACCUAAUGGUUUCUAAAAAUAAAAUGAAAGGGGGGAGGGAGUACAGAAUUCUUAUAUACAUUUAUAAAUUAUUAAUUUAAAUUGCUGAAAUACCUAGAAAUCACUUAGAAGUAAUUCAACAUAAAAUAAAUUAAUUAAGAAUAAUGAUUGACUCAUUUCUUUUCAUUUUUUGGAGGAGUAGAAUGAAUAAUUAAAAGAUCAUCUUUUGGAGGAGUAUACCAACAACAAAAAAAAAAGUAACAUAUUCAGUAUAAUCUGACAAAUAGGAUCUGAUGAGAAUAAAAUAUAUGUAUAGACCUUAUCUCAACAUCAUUCAAGUAGAAAACUUAAUUCUGAUAGAAACUCAUUAAAAGACUAAUCAUAUAGAUAGAUAAAGGUAAAACGCAACAUAAUAGAGAUUUGUUCACGUGAUAAGCACUCUUCAUCUUCAGUUUUAAAAUUGUGAGUUCAAAUCGAGCAAAUACAAAAUAGACGUUCUUAGCAGGAGAAUUAAAAAAAAAAAAAAAAGGGUAAGAUGCAAACCUUGGACAAUGUAGAUUAGUUGAGGAGCAUUAUUAUAAUGAGGCAAUAGUAACCCUUGAGGUUGAAUAUUAUUUCUAACAGCAGCAACUCCGGCGCAUUCAAAUUCCUCCGAGUCCCGUUCCCAGAACUCGGUGGUCCCAGCCUCCGAGUCAAACUUACGUGUCGGUUCCCGAGCAUUAAGGCUUUGGAUCUGACAGUCAGUUUUGGCUCGGGCGGGCCGGUGUUGCUGCUGUUGUUGAAGCUUCUCCCACAAGAAGCUUUGUUGUUGCUCUAUUUGGGAGAAGCAACAACUAAACAAAAGAAAAAAACACAUGAGAAGAGAGAGAAGAGAGCGUUUUUUUACUAUUUCCAUUUUCGAGCGGUGAUAUAUUAUAAGGUGAUGGUGUGAAGAGAAAAGUGUAAUUGGGAUUUGGUAUUUGUAGAAGUAGCGGGGUUAAUUUGGAUUCGACACGUAAAAUGUUGUGGUGAGACAUAUGUUUUGAUUUUUUCUGCAUGGAUAUGCAUUAAUUUACAAAAAGUUCUCGACACCUAAUAAGUUAGUAAGCUGAAAUGUGGCAAAUAUUUGCUGAAGAAAGUGGUGGGAUUUGUGUUUGUGUUUGCAUGGGUUUUUGUUUUGAUGUAGAGCACACAGAAGGAGAUGUGCUGUAAAUGCAUGUGUCCUUUUUGAGGACUAAAUACGUAAAUUCAUUUUAAAUAGUUAGAUUUUUAGCUUUGAAUUUAUUAUAAUUUUGGAAUUAUGGAUGUGUAUCUAUUAUAGUACUUUAGUACUCUUUUCGUCUAAGUGGUUUGUCAAGAUUUAUUGCCUACUUUUUUUAUAUUUCUUUAGUUACAACUUUUCACGUAACAUGUGACCACAAUAUUAUAGAAUAUUUGAUACAUUCUACGUGUUUUUAGUUUAAGACUAUAUGCAUGAUUAAAAAAUCUUCUUUUCUUGUUUCAACUCGAUUAAAUUCAGACAUACAAAUUAAAACAAAGGUACAAUACAAGAAUGUGUCCUUUAAUUUUACCUCUGACAUUUAUGUCUUCUAAUUUUGGUUGUGCACAAGUAGAUACUUAAAUUUGUAUAAAGUUGAACAAGUAAAUAGAUGCAUCCUACAUAACAAUUCACGUGAGAUUGCCAUGUAGAUGUCACACAGAUGCCAUGAAGGACGCUUGUACCUACUUAUUUAAAUUUAUAUAAGUUUAAGUGUCUACUCAUGCAUGUCAAAAAUAAAAGGCGUAGAUACCUACUGAUGUCAAAUUAAAAGGCAUGAUUAUAUAUUAGGGAAAAUGACACCUAUAACACUUUUUAAAAUAAAUAGCCCAAGUUUGAUAUCUUUCCAAAAAGUGAACAGUCGGGGACACUAUUUCUACUUUAUAGUCAUUUCCUAAUUUGGGUCAUUUUAGCCCACGUAGUUCAGAUACAGUCCAUAUACAAUAUUGAUACAGUCCAUAUACAAUAUUGAUACAAUUUUCAACUUGGGUCAUUCGGCCCUUUUAAAAACAUUUUUGUUUUUUUUUUUGCUAUAAAUUUUUUAAUUGGAAAAAUAUUCUGCUUUUUUUAUUAUCUAGAAAUAAUAAUUAAAUAUAAUUAUAUAAAAACGAUAUAAUUAUUAUAUAGAAUAUGUAUCUAUAUAAGAUAUAUCUAUCAAAUAUGUAUAUGUAUAAAAUAUAUAUAAAAAAAUAUAUAGAAAGUGUAUAAAAAUUAUAUAAUUGUUUUAUAAAAUGUGUAAAAAAAAAAUACAAUUAUUAUAUAAAUUGUGUAUCAAAACUGUAUAAUUUUCGUAUGGAAUAUUUAUAUGUAUAAGAUAUGUAAAUUGCAUAGAAGGUGUAUAGAAACAACAUAGAACAGACCAACAAAUUGAAAUAGCUAGAAAGUAAAAUUUAAAUUUCAAGACCAUUUUCGUAAAAAUACUUUAAUUUGAAGUGCCGUUUCUGUCCUUUCCCCAGCCUAAAAUAAAGGAAGCAAUAAUUUUUGUGGAUUUUUAUACAUGCAUUUAUGCACCACUUUUAAAAUUACUAAAUUCUUUAAUUCCGUCAAAUUCACAUGGUCAACAAACUUCUUUUGUAGUACUUAAUAUGACUAGAUGGAAUUGAAAAUCUUAACUAGUAUAUAGAGAAUAUUAAUUUGCUUUCUAGUACUUAGCAAAAGAUGGUUUUAAAGUGGAUGUCAAACUAAGAAAAUGUGGAGAGAAUGAAUCAGAUAAUACAAAAAAACAAAAGAGUGCGAGCGCAUACACCACUCAACUCAUUUAUUAUCAUAAUUUCAUCAAAAACUUAUUUAUUCUCUCAUAAACUUUACAUUAUUAUUGCAAAGAACAAAAACUUAAUUAGACUUUUAAGAAAGCCUCAACAGCAUUCAAAGCAUACUCCAUUGGCCUAGUUGAAUAUCAUGUUGACAUUCUUCCUGCAAAAACAGUUGCUUCCUCCCUAUUAUACUUCAAUCUCCUUCCAUCUUGCCUGGAAAUUUGAUAUGAGUUCAUCAGCACUUCUUCUGGCAUGGCCCGAAUAACCGAUAAGCGCCCGGCUAAUGGGCUUGUCAUGGCUUGAUCAUUGGUCUUGAAGGCAAUGUAUUCGAGUCCUUGGUCUCCUGCCUUUUUCACUAUCGCAAAGUUUUGUGGCACGAUGAUCAUUUGUCCCUGCCUGACCUCGCCAUCGAAGACAGAGUUCCCAGUGUCCCCGACCACCUGAAACCGACCAUUACCUCGGAUGAUGUAGAUGAUGCUGUGGGCAUUAGUGUUCCAGUAUGGUGCCAUCACUGCAUUCUGCAAAACUCAACUCAAAUGUAAUACAACACUCAAGUCAAUAACUAGGCAUAUUAUAUUCCUUGCCAGAAAUGACAUGAUAUAAAUAGGUCAAAAAUCUGAGUCGCUUAUUCUGCUACUCCAUUAGGUAAAUAAAGGCGAAAGAUAGAAGUCAAUUCGAUAAAUCGGAUAACUUUUGCUCCAACAGUAUAGCUGUAGUGAAGAAAUUACAUUAAACAUGCACAAAAUAAUUAAAUUUAGAAUCCAGUUAUUAACACUUGUAGAUAGUCAUCUUAAAAUUUACAACCCAGAAAACUAAAAUAUUAGCUCCGCCUUUGAGCAUAACAGCCCACAUCUUUAUGACGAGCUAGUAAAUAAUUUGUUCCAAAUUUGUGAAUAGUCGUCACUCUUGGUGACAAAAUACUUUCUUAAAUUUCGAGUGACAAAAUACUUUCUUAAAUUUCAUGUCAAGUCAAAAUCAGACAACUAAUUGAAACAGAUAAAGCAAUUUUCAUAGUUUAGUUAAAUAAUAUGGAUUAAAAUUUGACUUGCUUGGUAAAGGACUCCUCUUUCAGCACUAAGUUGUAGCCAAUUGAGGAUUGGCAGCUUGUUGCUAUUAAGAGUGCUGACGAGUCCUCCACGUGGAUUGUACUCGUCAGCACGGGACGGGCGGCCCAAAUUCUCUCUCAGCCACAUGGUGCAAAUAGUUUGAUCGAGCCCAUUGGGCCGUGAUCCUUCUCUUCCGGGCCUAUAGGGUUGCUCUUGUUCUUCUUCUUGUUCGAAUUCCGGGCUCAAAACAUCGAACCUCUCGGCCCGAACUAUUUGGCCCCUUUGAUCUUCUCGGCCCUCUAACCUCGUGACAAACUCCCGAUCCACAUUGAAAACCUCCGCGAGGAGAUUUGGAUCAUAUCCAUGGACAAAGUUGUCUGAUUCCUGUUCUUUUAGACUUUCGAUUUCUUCUUCGUACCUACUUCCACUUAGUCCUUUGGGAUGUGGAUUUCCUGCUAGGAAGAAAUGCUGUAAAAUAUUCAAACUAUAUUGUUAACGCCACAAAUUAACGGAAAAAAAUUAUAGAAAAAUCGCGAAUACAAAUUUAAUAUAAGUGCUAACAUGUACGUAUAUAUGUUUAUUCUUCCUAAAGUAAAAGUUCGAGUAAUUCUCUUUCGAAUGCAUAUGGUAUGUAAACUUUCAUAUCAUAUGCAUUCAGUUAAUUCUCUUACUACGAUUAUCAAUUUUAGACUAUAUAAGCAUUAUUUAAUGGGCAAGGAGGGUAAAUUCGUGAAUAAUAUGUUUAAGUUAGUUCAAAUUCAGCUCGGCCCAAUACUUUGUCAAUAGGUCAUGAAAUCGUAUAACCCCUUUGCACAUCCGAAAUACUCUAUAUAUGAUCGUCGAUGCUCUACUAUAUAUCAUAAUUACAACAAUGCUUCAUUUAUCAUUUUUAUAAAAUAUCGACUAUGCUCCCUUAUUCCAAAUAAUUUUCUAACUAUUCAUAAUUGAUUAUUACCCCCUUUAAAAAAAAAUUGGUACAUUAUCCAUUUGGAAACCAUUAACUAGUGACAUAAUAUGUUCAACACCACAAACUUAGAAACCUUAUAGUCACACAAACGUUAUGACAUUAUAAAUAUCUUUUUCACAACAUACACGUAUAGUAACAAAAUUUGAGUAUCUCUUACCCUGAAUUCAAGGUCGAGCUGAUUGAUUGGAUUGGCAGUGUCAAGCAAGGCAACAGUAACAAGGUUUUCUUGGCCAUUGUUAUACAACCAAAGUGUGAAACCAGCAGGCAAUGCUAGUACAUCACCCUGUUGAAAUUGCCUGACUUUCUGAUGGCGAUCACCGCCAUGACUUUCUGCUUCUCUACUUUCUUCUCCUCUCAUGCUUCUCUC